rnacentral:rRNA from 1 species
CAGCAGCCGCGGGAAUACGAAGGGGGCGAGCGUUAAUCGGAAUUACUGGGCGUAAAGCGUGCGCAGGCGGUUAUAUAAGACAGAUGUGAAAUCCCCGGGCUCAACCUGGGACCUGCAUUUGUGACUGUAUAGCUAGAGUACGGUAGAGGGGGAUGGAAUUCCGCGUGUAGCAGUGAAAUGCGUAGAUAUGCGGAGGAACACCGAUGGCGAAGGCAAUCCCCUGGACCUGUACUGACGCUCAUGCACGAAAGCGUGGGGAGCAAACAGGAUUAGAUACCCGCGUAGUCCCUGUCUCUUAUAC